GACGAACGCUGGCGGCGUGCCUAACACAUGCAAGUUGAGCGACGAACCAGGGCUUGCCCUGGGGCAAAGCAGCGAACGGGUGAGUAACACGUGGAUAACCUGCCCCGAAUACUGGGACAACCCGAGGAAACUCGGGCUAAUACCGGAUGUGCUCGUCAGACAUCAGUCAGGCGAGGAAAGGAAGCUUCGGCCUCCGAUUCGGGAGGGGUCCGCGGCCCAUUAGCUAGUUGGUGAGGUAACGGCUUACCAAGGCUUCGAUGGGUAGCUGGUCUGAGAGGACGAUCAGCCACACUGGGACUGAGACACGGCCCAGACUCCUACGGGAGGCAGCAGUGGGGAAUCUUGCGCAAUGCGCGAAAGCGUGACGCAGCAACGCCGCGUGGGGGAAGAAGGCCUUCGGGUUGUAAACCCCUUUCAGGAGGGACGAAGGUGCGGCAGUUAAUAGCUGUCCGUACUGACGGUACCUCCAGAAGAAGCUCCGGCUAACUACGUGCCAGCCGCCGUAACAC
rnacentral:rRNA from 1 species